GCAGCCAAGAAGAGUGCCUGAGGAGCCCAUUUGUCUGCACACGAUGGUCAGUUCUCAGAGUCGCACCCCCGUCGUUCUCCAGGUAAUUAUGACAAGAGGGACCCAAAGACAGCAGCGGUGUGGCAGGCGCACGCAUAAGAAGGUCCUCUGUGUCAUCCUCUGAAGACCCUGCCUGCUGGAAAACCAACAAAAAUAACAACCAACAAGACAACACACUCGGCUGAUUUGACUCGGUGCUCUCGGCAUCACUCGAACAGACACCAGCCCGCUGUUUGAUGAUCCCGCGUUAAGCGCUCGGCAGCUGAGGACGUUGUUUGCGGUGGCUCUCCGUGUCAAGGUGUUUGCAGAUAUUAAGUGAUUGUUACACACAGACUAAUUAAAAAGGUGAAUUUCAAAAGCAGUAAAUGAAUAUGCAAAUGGUCUGUGUCUGCGCCUCGU